UACGGAGGAUGCGAGCGUUAUCCGGAUUUAUUGGGUUUAAAGGGUGCGUAGGCGGAUUUUUAAGUCAGCGGUAAAAUGUCCGGGCUCAACCCGGGCCGGCCGUUGAAACUGGGGAUCUUGAGUGGGCGAGAAGUAUGCGGAAUUCCUAGUGUAGCGGUGAAAUGCAUAGAUAUUAGGAGGAACACCAGUGGCGAAGGCGGCUUACUGGACUGUAACUGACACUGAGGCUCGAAAGCGUGGGGAGCAAACAGG
rnacentral:rRNA from 1 species